UGGGGAAUAUUGGACAAUGGGCGAAAGCCUGAUCCAGCCAUGCCGCGUGUGUGAAGAAGGUCUUCGGAUUGUAAAGCACUUUAAGUUGGGAGGAAGGGCAUUAACCUAAUACGUUAGUGUUUUGACGUUACCGACAGAAUAAGCACCGGCUAACUCUGUGCCAGCAGCCGCGGUAAUACAGAGGGUGCAAGCGUUAAUCGGAAUUACUGGGCGUAAAGCGCGCGUAGGUGGUUUGUUAAGUUGGAUGUGAAAGCCCCGGGCUCAACCUGGGAACUGCAUCCAAAACUGGCAAGCUAGAGUACGGUAGAGGGUGGUGGAAUUUCCUGUGUAGCGGUGAAAUGGGUAGAUAUAGGAAGGAACACCAGUGGCGAAGGCGACCACCUGGACUGAUACUGACACUGAGGUGCGAAAGCGUGGGGAGCAAACA
rnacentral:rRNA from 1 species